rnacentral:rRNA from 1 species
UACGAAGGGGGCUAGCGUUGCUCGGAAUCACUGGGCGUAAAGGGCGCGUAGGCGGAUCUUUAAGUCGGGGGUGAAAGCCUGUGGCUCAACCACAGAAUUGCCUUCGAUACUGGGGAUCUCGAGACCGGAAGAGGUGAGUGGAACUGCGAGUGUAGAGGUGAAAUUCGUAGAUAUUCGCAAGAACACCAGUGGCGAAGGCGGCUUGCCAGAACGCGCUCGACGGUGAGGGAUGAAAGCUGGGGGAGCAAACCGG